rnacentral:rRNA from 1 species
ACGGGUGAGUAACGCGUGAGUAACCUGCCCUAGAGUGGGGGACAACAGUUGGAAACGACUGCUAAUACCGCAUAAGCCCACGGUACCGCAUGGUACUGAGGGAAAAGGAUUUAUUCGCUUUAGGAUGGACUCGCGUCCAAUUAGCUAGUUGGUGAGGUAACGGCCCACCAAGGCGACGAUUGGUAGCCGGACUGAGAGGUUGAACGGCCACAUUGGGACUGAGACACGGCCCAGACUCCUACGGGAGGCAGCAGUGGGGGAUAUUGCACAAUGGGGGAAACCCUGAUGCAGCGACGCCGCGUGGAGGAAGAAGGUUUUCGGAUUGUAAACUCCUGUCGUUAGGGACGAUAAUGACGGUACCUAACAAGAAAGCACCGGCUAACUACGUGCCAGCAGCCGCGGUAAAACGUAGGGUGCAAGCGUUGUCCGGAAUUACUGGGUGUAAAGGGAGCGCAGGCGGGAAGACAAGUUGGAAGUGAAAACCAUGGGCUCAACCCAUGAAUUGCUUUCAAAACUGUUUUUCUUGAGUAGUGCAGAGGUAGAUGGAAUUCCCGGUGUAGCGGUGGAAUGCGUAGAUAUCGGGAGGAACACCAGUGGCGAAGGCGGUCUACUGGGCACCAACUGACGCUGAGGCUCGAAAGCAUGGGUAGCAAACAGGAUUAGAUACCCUGGUAGUCCAUGCCGUAAACGAUGAUUACUAGGUGUUGGGGGAUUGACCCCCUCAGUGCCGCAGUUAACACAAUAAGUAAUCCACCUGGGGAGUACGACCGCAAGGUUGAAACUCAAAGGAAUUGACGGGGGCCCGCACAAGCAGUGGAGUAUGUGGUUUAUUUCGAAGCAACCCGAA